AGAUGAUGGUGAGGACAACUAAUGAGUAAAUAUUUAAACCUGUCCCAAUAUUGAUACAAUUUUUCUCCAGAUUUUUGGUUAAAGCUUAAAAUUUUAGCCCUCAACUU